AGUCAACCUAACUCGUGGACGUGGAUAACCUCGGGAAACUGAGAAUAAACCACGAUAGAUCAUAGUGCCUGGAAUGGCUUAUGGUCCAAACAGUUUACUGCCAUGGGAUGGGACUGCGGCCUAUCAGCUUGUUGGUGAGGUAAUGGCCCACCAAGGCGAUUACAGGUACGGGCUCUGAGAGGAGAAGCCCGGAGAUGGGUACUGAGACACGGACCCAGGCCCUAUGGGGCGCAGCAGGCGAGAAACCUUAGCAAUGUGCGAAAGCACGACUGGGUCAGUCCGAGUGAUUCCUGAUAAAGGAGUCUUUUGCUUGUCCUAAAAGCACAGGUGAAUAAGGGGUGGGCAAGUCUGGUGUCAGCCGCCGCGGUAAUACCAGCACCUCGAGUGGUCAGGACGUUUAUUGGGCCUAAAGCAUCCGUAGCCGGCUUUGCAAGUCUUCGGUUAGAUCCACCUGCUCAACAGAUGGGCUGCUGGAGAUACUACAGAGCUAGGGAGUGGGAGAGGCAGACGGUAUUCAGUGGGUAGGGGUAAAAUCCUCUGAUCCAUUGAGGACCACCAGUGGCGAAGGCGGUCUGCCAGAACACGUUCGACGGUGAGGGAUGAAAGCUGGGGGAGCAAACCGGAUUAGAUACCCGGGUAGUCCCAGCUGUAAACGAUGCAAACUCGGUGAUGCAUUGGC
rnacentral:rRNA from 1 species